rfam:Oryctolagus cuniculus chromosome 9, whole genome shotgun sequence.
UAGGGGAGACGGGGCUCAGACCCCCUCCCUGAGUCUAGGGUAACCCUAAAAGUGGAGGGGAA